CAAAAAGCACAGAGACAUUUGUGAGGCAAACUCUUGGAGCAGCAAUAGGCUCAUGCUAGAGUUGAGAUCCUUCAUUUGGAAAUCAACUCUUGCUGACAAUGUGACAUACAGACCACGAGAGUCUUCCUUCUACAAGAGGAGAAACAAAUUAGCCCUAUUCCCAUUGCUUGUUUUCAUCAUACUCAGCACUAAAAUAUUGAUCUAGGCUACAGUUAUUUCAUGGUAGAGUUAAAAUAUAGGCAAGUUUGGGGGAUCACAAGAAAAAAAAAAUAGUAUCUCUUCAGCAACAUCUCCCCACUGCUUUGCCUAAUGAACAAAAAAGAAGCUUUCAACAGGACUCCUGAGCAUGCAAGAUGGAUGCAACCUUAGACCCUCCAGAUAAACUACAGCUAAAACAAUCUGCCUGCACUCACAGCCUCAGGAAGAGUUGGAGCUGAGGUCAGGAUCCCUAAUCCCAAAGCCUUCUUUCACAUUACAACUAACAAAUCCAUCUCUGGUGAACAGCACAGGGAUUACUUUCCAAGCGGCAGCACAAGAUCACCUGCCUAAUUGGAGGGCAAGCAGAAGGAAAAAUUGCACGCAGCUUGCCAGCAACCCAAAUUUCCUGACCUCCCCCUGCACACAGAGCACACAGCCCCAUUCUCUCCCGAAGCCCAGCACCU